rnacentral:rRNA from 1 species
UACGAAGGGUGCAAACGUUGCUCGGAAUUAUUGGGCGUAAAGGGCGCGUAGGCGGCUUGGCAAGUGGAUGGUGAAAUCCCUCGGCUUAACCGAGGAACUGCCAUCCAGACUGCUUCGCUUGAGACCGGGAGAGGUGAGUGGAAUUCCCAGUGUAGCGGUGAAAUGCGUAGAUAUUGGGAGGAACACCAGUGGCGAAGGCGGCUCACUGGACCGGUACUGACGCUGAGGCGCGAAAGCGUGGGGAGCAAACGGG